rnacentral:tRNA from 1 species
GGAGAGGUGGCCGAGUGGUCGAAGGCGGCGGUCUUGAAAACCGCUGAUCCGCAAGGGUCCGUGGGUUCGAAUCCCACCCUCUCCGCCA